rnacentral:rRNA from 1 species
GGGAAACAACCCAGACCGCCAGCUAAGGUCCCAAAGUUGUGGUUAAGUGGUAAACGAUGUGGGAAGGCUUAGACAGCUAGGAGGUUGGCUUAGAAGCAGCCAUCCUUUAAAGAAAGCGUAAUAGCUCACUAGUCGAGUCGGCCUGCGCGGAAGAUGUAACGGGGCUCAAACCACACACCGAAGCUGCGGGUGUCACGUAAGUGACGCGGUAGAGGAGCGUUCUGUAAGCCUGUGAAGGUGAGUUGAGAAGCUUGCUGGAGGUAUCAGAAGUGCGAAUGCUGACAUGAGUAACGACAAUGGGUGUGAAAAACACCCACGCCGAAAGACCAAGGGUUCCUGCGCAACGUUAAUCGACGCAGGGUUAGUCGGUUCCUAAGGCGAGGCUGAAAAGCGUAGUCGAUGGGAAACAGGUUAAUAUUCCUGUACUUCUGGUUACUGCGAUGGAGGGACGGAGAAGGCUAGGCCAGCUUGGCGUUGGUUGUCCAAGUUUAAGGUGGUAGGCUGAAAUCUUAGGUAAAUCCGGGGUUUCAAGGCCGAGAGCUGAUGACGAGUCGUCUUUUAGAUGACGAAGUGGUUGAUGCCAUGCUUCCAAGAAAAGCUUCUAAGCUUCAGGUAACCAGGAACCGUACCCCAAACCGACACAGGUGGUCGGGUAGAGAAUACCAAGGCGCUUGAGAGAACUCGGGUGAAGGAACUAGGCAAAAUGGCACCGUAACUUCGGGAGAAGGUGCGCCGGCUAGGGUGAAGGAUUUACUCCGUAAGCUCUGGCUGGUCGAAGAUACCAGGCCGCUGCGACUGUUUAUUAAAAACACAGCACUCUGCAAACACGAAAGUGGACGUAUAGGGUGUGACGCCUGCCCGGUGCCGGAAGGUUAAUUGAUGGGGUUAGCGCAAGCGAAGCUCUUGAUCGAAGCCCCGGUAAACGGCGGCCGUAACUAUAACGGUCCUAAGGUAGCGAAAUUCCUUGUCGGGUAAGUUCCGACCUGCACGAAUGGCGUAACGAUGGCGGCGCUGUCUCCACCCGAGACUCAGUGAAAUUGAAAUCGCUGUGAAGAUGCAGUGUAUCCGCGGCUAGACGGAAAGACCCCGUGAACCUUUACUGUAGCUUUGCACUGGACUUUGAGCCUGCUUGUGUAGGAUAGGUGGGAGGCUUUGAAGCGUGGACGCCAGUUCGCGUGGAGCCAUCCUUGAAAUACCACCCUGGCAUGCUUGAGGUUCUAACUCUGGUCCGUAAUCCGGAUCGAGGACAGUGUAUGGUGGGCAGUUUGACUGGGGCGGUCUCCUCCUAAAGAGUAACGGAGGAGUACGAAGGUGCGCUCAGACCGGUCGGAAAUCGGUCGCAGAGUAUAAAGGCAAAAGCGCGCUUGACUGCGAGACAGACACGUCGAGCAGGUACGAAAGUAGGUCUUAGUGAUCCGGUGGUUCUGUAUGGAAGGGCCAUCGCUCAACGGAUAAAAGGUACUCCGGGGAUAACAGGCUGAUACCGCCCAAGAGUUCAUAUCGACGGCGGUGUUUGGCACCUCGAUGUCGGCUCAUCACAUCCUGGGGCUGAAGCCGGUCCCAAGGGUAUGGCUGUUCGCCAUUUAAAGUGGUACGCGAGCUGGGUUUAGAACGUCGUGAGACAGUUCGGUCCCUAUCUGCCGUGGACGUUUGAGAUUUGAGAGGGGCUGCUCCUAGUACGAGAGGACCGGAGUGGACGAACCUCUGGUGUUCCGGUUGUCACGCCAGUGGCAUUGCCGGGUAGCUAUGUUCGGAAAAGAUAACCGCUGAAAGCAUCUAAGCGGGAAACUUGCCUCAAGAUGAGAUCUCACUGGGAACUUGAUUCCCCUGAAGGGCCGUCGAAGACUACGACGUUGAUAGGCUGGGUGUGUAAGCGUUGUGAGGCGUUGAGCUAACCAGUACUAAUUGCCCGUGAGGCUUGACCAU